rnacentral:rRNA from 1 species
UGCGUAGGCGGAAUGAUAAGUCAGUGGUGAAAUCUCGGAGCUUAACUCCGAAACUGCCAUUGAUACUGUCAAUCUUGAGUACAUUUGAUGUGGGCGGAAUGUGUCAUGUAGCGGUGAAAUGCUUAGAUAUGACACAGAACACCGAUUGCGAAGGCAGCUCACAAAACUGUAACUGACACUGAGGCACGAAAGCGUGGGUAUCAAACAGGAUUAGAUACCCUGGUAGUCCACGCUGUAAACUAUGAUUACUCGAUGUUUGCGAUACACAGUAAGCGUCUAGGCGAAAGCGAUAAGUAAUCCACCUGGGGAGUACGCUCGCAAGAGUGAA